rnacentral:tRNA from 2 species
GGCGAGGUAGCUCAGAUGGUCAGAGCAUGCGGCUCAUAUCCGCAGUGUCGGGGGUUCAAUCCCCUCCCUCGCUACCA